UGCGUUGUAAAGUAUCUCAUGGCAUAUCGAAGAUUAGCCUUGAGCUAACAUCUGCUGCCAAUCCUCCUCUUUUGCUGAGGAAGACUGGCCCUGAGCUAACAUCCGUGCCCAUCUUCCUCUACUUUAUAUGUGGGACACCUGCCACAUCAUGGCUUGCCAAACUAUGCCAUGACUGCACCCGGGAUCUGAACCGGCAAUCCCCAGGCCGCCGAAGCAGAACUGAAAGGCUAUGUGAGGAUGGAUCAAGAUGGUGUCUGUCUGCAAGCCAGGAAGAGAGCUGUCACCGGAAUCCUAACUGGCUGGCACCUUGAUCCGGAACUUCCAGCCUCCAGAACUGUGAGAAAAUAAAUUUCUGUUCUUUAAGCCACCCAGUCUAUGGAAUUUGGUUAUGGCAGCCCAAGCUGCCUGAUGCAACCCUGCU
rnacentral:lncRNA from 1 species